CACUAAGAAGCUUUAACGGUCAUAAGCAUUAGCCUUUUAAGCUAAAAAUUGGUGACUACCACCCACCCUUAGUGG